AUACGGAGGGUGCAAGCGUUAAUCGGAAUUACUGGGCGUAAAGCGUACGUAGGCGGUGAGUUAAGUUAGAUGUGAAAGCCCCGGGCUCAACCUGGGAACUGCAUUUAAAACUGGCUCACUAGAGUUGAGUAGAGGGGAGUGGAAUUUCAGGUGUAGCGGUGAAAUGCGUAGAGAUCUGAAGGAACACCAGUGGCGAAGGCGACUCCCUGGACUCGAACUGACGCUGAGGUACGAAAGCGUGGGUAGCAAACGGAAUUAGAAACCCCAGUAGUCC
rnacentral:rRNA from 1 species